UACGGAGGGAGCUAGCGUUGUUCGGAAUUACUGGGCGUAAAGCGCACGUAGGCGGCUUUGUAAGUUAGAGGUGAAAGCCCAGGGCUCAACCCUGGAAUUGCCUUUAAGACUGCAUCGCUUGAACAUCGGAGAGGUAAGUGGAAUUCCGAGUGUAGAGGUGAAAUUCGUAGAUAUUCGGAAGAACACCAGUGGCGAAGGCGACUUACUGGACACAUAUUGACGCUGAGGUGCGAAAGCGUGGGGAGCAAACAGG
rnacentral:rRNA from 1 species